rnacentral:rRNA from 1 species
UAGGUGAACCUGCGGAAGGAUCAUUACCGAGUUAGGGUCUUAUAGGCCCGAUCUCCAACCCUUUGUUUACUACACCAUGUUGCUUUGGCGGGCCCGCCUUUUGGGGCCGCCGGGGGUUUACAAGCCCCUGGUCAGUGUCCGCCAGUAGCCUUAUCAAAUUCUUUUAUAAUUAUGUUGUCUGAGUAUAAAUAUAAAUCGUUAAAACUUUCAACAACGGAUCUCUUGGUUCUGGCAUCGAUGAAGAACGCAGCGAAAUGCGAUAAGUAAUGCGAAUUGCARAAUUCAGUGAGUCAUCGAAUCUUUGAACGCAUAUUGCGCCCUUUGGUAUUCCGAAGGGCAUGCCUGUUCGAGCGUCAUUAUCAACCAUCAAGCCUGGCUUGUCGUUGGACCCCUUUUUAUCGCUGAAAUAUGUGGUAGGUCCGAAAGAUAAUGACGGCGUCGUGUUUGACCCUAGAUGCAACGAGCUUUUUAUAGCACGCAUUGAAGUGGUYGGCCGACCCGGUCUUUAACCAUCAUUUUCUAAGGUUGACCUCGGAUCAGGUA